AAAUAACUGACUUUAAUCCUAUCGAGAGAGGAAGAUCCUACAAGGACUGCACAUAUAGGAUCAUUGCUGACCACUGAAUUUCGAGAUCGACUUCUAAAUUUUUUAUAUAGAAAUAUAGAUAAUUUUGCUUGGUCAGCCUCGGACAUGCUAGAAAUCACCUUUAAGGUAAUUAUCUAUAAAUUAAAUAGUUAUCCAAAACACAAAUCAAUUCAGCAG
rnacentral:lncRNA from 1 species